AGAGUUUGAUCCUGGCUCAGGAUGAACGCUGGCGGCGUGCUUAACACAUGCAAGUCGAACGAACCUUCGGGUUAGUGGCGGACGGGUGAGUAACGCGUGAGAAUCUGCCCUCAGGAGGGGGACAACAGCUGGAAACGGCUGCUAAUACCCCAUAUGCCGCGAGGUGAAAUGAAUUUCGCCUGAGGAUGAGCUCGCGUCUGAUUAGCUAGUUGGUGUAGGUAAUGGCUCACCAAGGCAUCGAUCAGUAGCUGGUCUGAGAGGAUGAUCAGCCACACUGGGACUGAGACACGGCCCAGACUCCUACGGGAGGCAGCAGUGGGGAAUUUUCCGCAAUGGGCGAAAGCCUGACGGAGCAACGCCGCGUGAGGGAUGAAGGCCUCUGGGCUGUAAACCUCUUUUAUCAAGGAAGAAGAUCUGACGGUACUUGAUGAAUAAGGCACGGCUAUCGUGCCAGCAGCCGCGUUAAUACGGGAGUGGCAAGCGUAUCUGGAAUUAUUGGGCGUAAAGCGUCGCAGGCGGCCCUUCAAGUCUGCUGUUAAAAAGUGGAGCUUAACUCCAUCAUGGCAGUGGAAACUGUUGGGCUUGAGUGUGGUAGGGGCAGAGGGAAUUCCCGGUGUAGCGGUGAAAUGCGUAGAUAUCGGGAAGAACACCAGUGGCGAAGGCGCUCUGCUGGGCCAUCACUGACGCUCAUGGACGAAAGCCAGGGGAGCGAAAGGGAUUAGAUACCCCUGUAGUCCUGGCCGUAAACGAUGAACACUAUGUGUCGGGGGAAUCGACCCCCUCGGUGUCGUAGCCAACGCGUUAAGUGUUCCGCCUGGGGAGUACGCACGCAAGUGUGAAACUCAAAGGAAUUGACGGGGGCCCGCACAAGCGGUGGAGUAUGUGGUUUAAUUCGAUGCAACGCGAAGAACCUUACCAGGUUUUGACAUCCUGCGAAUCUCUUGGAAACAGAGAGUGCCUUCGGGAACGCAGUGACAGGUUGUGCAUGUCUGUCGUCAGCUCGUGUCGUGAGAUGUUGGGUUAAGUUCGGCAACGAGCGCAACCCACGUCUUUAGUUGCCAGCAUUUAGUUGGGCACUCUAGAGAGACUGCCGGUGAUAAACCGGAGGAAGGUGUGGAUGACGUCAAGUCAUCAUGCCCCUUACAUCCUGGGCUACACACGUACUACAAUGCUACGGACAAAGGGCAGCAAGUUCGCGAGGACAAGCAAAUCCCAUAAACCGUGGCUCAGUUCAGAUCGUAGGCUGCAACUCGCCUACGUGAAGGCGGAAUCGCUAGUAAUCGCAGGUCAGCAUACUGCGGUGAAUACGUUCCCGGGCCUUGUACACACCGCCCGUCACACCAUGGAAGUUGGCCACGCCCGAAGCCGUUACUCCAACCCUUGUGGAGGAGGACGUCGAAGGUGGGGCUGAUGACUGGGGUGAAGUCGUAACAAGGUAACC
rnacentral:rRNA from 1 species